UUCAUAGGGCUGUGUUUGCUGAACACACAGUUCGCCUUGUGCAACCUGGCUGAGCCAAACGCCUGUGGGUGGAGCCUAUCCAGAAUGCUCCCGCAAUGCGGACACCCAGGGCAAUGCUUCUCGACCUUCCUGACGCUGCUACAUCUCCUCCUGCUGUGCUGACCCCGACCAUAACAUGAUUCCGAUGCUACUUCACAACUGUGAUUUUCUACCGGAGGCCAGGCACCGAGUUUUCCGUGUGUGGUGUAUCAUGCCGGCGUUCGGUGGGUUCGGAUUCUGGGUUUCAGCAUUUGGGUGAGGGACGCUCACUGCAUAACAUGAAUGCAUCUCUGAAGAACAAGUCAAUAUUGUGCUUUAAAAAAAAGGAUUCCUGUGUUUAUUGUAUGCCCAUGUGUAUGUGCCGGAGUGUGGGUACACCAUGUGAAUGCAGCGCCUAUGGAUGCCAGUAGACGGUGUUGGAUCCCUUAAACUGGGGUUACAGGUGGUUGUGAGUUCCCAGUCAUGGGUGCUGGGAACUGAACUCAGGUUCUCUGCAGGAGCAAUGGACUGACUAUUAACUGUCUCUCCAGCCCCAACAUUCUGCUUCUUAAAAGAAAGAAGCAUUUGGUAGUGUACAUAGACUAUAAUACCGAUUUUUAAAGAUUUAUGGAUUUAUGUAUAUGAGUGGUCUACUUUCAAGUAUGUUUGCAGGCCAGAAGAGGGCACCAGAUCCCGCUGUAGAUGGUUGUGAGCCACCAUGUGGUUUCUGGGAAUUGAACUCAGGUCCUCUGGAAGAGCAGCCAGUUUUCCUAACCACCGAGCCAUCUCUCCGGCCCCUAUAAUACCGUUUUUUAUAACACUUACAAACAAGAGACAACUCAUUUUCAUGGAAAUGAAGCCCUUUGGUGAUUUCAGCACUGCACACAAGGGAGAGAGCGACUCCAGGUGCAAACAGUGUGUUUGACUCCAUCCACGGAGACGGCACAGACGAGCGUGCAGCUACCCCAGGCGGAGUCACUUUGAGAGAAGAAAGAAGAUUGCUAAUGCUGUCAUCCCACACAUCUCAAGACAAGCAGCCCAAGAGGCUCGGCCGAAUGCCUGCAGCUCCGCGCUCUCCUCCAGUUCCAUCAAGACAAUGGAGAAACAUAAACCGAGAAAGACCGCUGGUGGACUGACGCAGAGAAGGCAAAACCAGUGGGACUCUCGACUCUGCCUGCAGGCAGCCUCAGGUCCCACGCUAGGCUCUCAGGUGUGAAGGCCAGGGUGGAGGGGCAGUAUAGGCACUCAGGAGGCUGAGGAUCCUGAGUUCAAGGCUCAUUUGGGGUACAUAAUAAAACCCUGUCUCAGCCAGGCAGCGGUGGCGCACACCUUUAAUCCC